GACGUAGGGCGCGAGCGUUGUCCGGAUUUAUUGGGCGUAAAGAGCUCGUAGGCGGCUUGUCGCGUCGAAUGUGAAAUCCUGCGGCUCAACUGCAGGCUUGCAUUCGAUACGGGCAGGCUCGAGUUCGGUAGGGGAGACUGGAAUUCCUGGUGUAGCGGUGAAAUGCGCAGAUAUCAGGAGGAACACCGGUGGCGAAGGCGGGUCUCUGGGACGGUACUGACGCUGGAGACGCGAAAGCGUGGGGAGCGAACAGG
rnacentral:rRNA from 1 species